rnacentral:rRNA from 1 species
CCUACGGGCUGCAGCAGUGGGGAAUAUUGCACAAUGGGGGAAACCCUGAUGCAGCGACGCCGCGUGAGUGAAGAAGUAUUUCGGUAUGUAAAGCUCUAUCAGCAGGGAAGAAAAUGACGGUACCUGAUUAAGAAGCCCCGGCUAACUACGUGCCAGCAGCCGCGGCAAUACGUAGGGGGCAAGCGUUAUCCGGAUUUAGUGGGUGUAAUGGGAGCGUAGACGGGAGCACAAGUGUGGAGGGAAAUGGCGGGGCUUAACCCCGGAACUGCUUUGGAAACUGUGCAGCUAGAGUGCAGGAGAGGUAAGUGGAAUUCGUAGUGUAGCGGUGAAAUGUGUAGAUAUUAGGUGGAACACCAGUAGCGAAGGCAGCUUACUGGACUGUAACUGACGUUGAGGCUCGAGAGCGUGGGGAGCAAACAGGAUUAGAUACCCGUGUAGUC